UACUAUAGCUUGACACUGAACAUUGAGCCUUGAUGUGUAGGAUAGGUGGGAGGCUUUGAAGUGUGGACGCCAGUCUGCAUGGAGCCGACCUUGAAAUACCACCCUUUAAUGUUUGAUGUUCUAACGUUGACCCGUAAUCCGGGUUGCGGACAGUGUCUGGUGGGUAGUUUGACUGGGGCGGUCUCCUCCUAAAGAGUAACGGAGGAGCACGAAGGUUGGCUAAUCCUGGUCGGACAUCAGGAGGUUAGUGCAAUGGCAUAAGC
rnacentral:rRNA from 1 species